rnacentral:rRNA from 1 species
UACGUAGGGCGCAAGCGUUAUCCGGAAUUAUUGGGCGUAAAGAGCUCGUAGGCGGUUUGUCGCGUCUGCUGUGAAAACCCGAGGCCCAACCUCGGGCCUGCAGUGGGUACGGGCAGACUAGAGUGCGGUAGGGGAGAUUGGAAUUCCUGGUGUAGCGGUGGAAUGCGCAGAUAUCAGGAGGAACACCAAUGGCGAAGGCAGAUCUCUGGGCCAUAACUGACGCUGAGGAGCGAAAGCAUGGGGAGCGAACAGG